rnacentral:lncRNA from 1 species
CAAUGAGUUGCUUAACAUUAGAAUGAAGAUGGAGGAGGAAGAUAAGUUGUUACUACUGCUAUGCUCGCUGCCCCCUUCCUAUGAUCUGUCGUUGGUGGUGACGCUGCUCUAUGGCAAGGAGACCUUGGAGAUGAAGACAUAGUCUCGAUGUUGCGGUCCAAUGAACAGUGAGAGAAGUUGACCAAGGAAGGUGCUCCUCAGGAGGGCUUGGCCAUGGGGG